GACAGUGUACUUAGAUCUUAGACUAUUGGGCAGUAGAGACUGUAUUCAUGAGUAUAUGUGGCUGGUUUUACUUUAUGUUCUAAGGCUCAGAGUAGUUAAUUCUGGCUUUCUCUAGUUGCCCAGGAUUGUAUACCUAAGUGUUAGAGCCAGUCGCCCUAUGGUUAUUCAGGAAUCAAAGUCUUUGCUCAGAAAUCCUUUUGAAGCCAUCAGACCAGGAAGUGCUCAACAGGUGAAGACAGGCUCACUGCUAAACCAGCCCAAAGCUGUGCUUCAGAAACUGGCUGCUCUCUCUGACCAUAACCCCAGUGCUCCUCGAAAUUCAAGAAACUUUGUCUUUCAUACACUUUCUCCUGUCAAGGCUGAGGCGGCAAAGGAAUCGUCUAAGUCUCAGGUAAAGAAAAGGGGUCCAUCUUUCAUGACUUCUCCUUCACCUAAGCACCUCAAAACAGAUGAUAGCACUUCAGGAUUGACGCGAAGCAUCUUCAAAUAUUUGGAGAGCUAACACCAUCAAAGGUGCCAAAAUCUACAUUGAGACUGCUUUGAGAAGUUUCUAGCACUGAAAGUUGGAAUUGACACUCCAGCCAAUGAUCCUUCCUUCUUUCAUAAUCAAUGCAAUAAGAUUGCAGACAGAAAUUCCAGUGAUUUCUACUGCACAGCUCUGGACAUCUCUUUUCCUAGUAUUAUUCCCUGAAUUGGCCACUGAUUUCAAUUCUGCAG
rnacentral:lncRNA from 1 species